rnacentral:rRNA from 1 species
AACAGAUUUACUUCGGUAAUGACGUUAGGAAAGCGAGCGGCGGAUGGGUGAGUAACACGUGGGGAACCUGCCCCAUAGUCUGGGAUACCACUUGGAAACAGGUGCUAAUACCGGAUAAGAAAGCAGAUCGCAUGAUCAGCUUUUAAAAGGCGGCGUAAGCUGUCGCUAUGGGAUGGCCCCGCGGUGCAUUAGCUAGUUGGUAAGGUAAAGGCUUACCAAGGCGAUGAUGCAUAGCCGAGUUGAGAGACUGAUCGGCCACAUUGGGACUGAGACACGGCCCAAACUCCUACGGGAGGCAGCAGUAGGGAAUCUUCCACAAUGGACGCAAGUCUGAUGGAGCAACGCCGCGUGAGUGAAGAAGGUUUUCGAAUCGUAAAGCUCUGUUGUUGGUGAA